rnacentral:sRNA from 1 species
UGUAUUUGCCCGCAGGAACCAGCUUCCGAG